AAACAAGUGAGUUACAAAUUCGAUAGCUUCCAUGUCUUCAGACUAUUUUUUUGAAUAAUUAUGUUAUUUUAACCAUUUCAACGAUAUCGGGGAAAUGACCGCAAACAAUUAUUCGAUUGUGCAAACCAUAGAAAAUGUUUAUGUUCUGCUGUCCGUGCUACCUUCGCUGUGGGUAGGAAAAACGGAUAGAAAACUGAUACAAUGGGAAGAGGCUACGAUUUAUGCUACUGGCCGAAGCGGUGUUUUGAUUACCGGGUUUUUGAGAAGGCGAAAAAAGACCCAAAAAUACCAGUGGACACUAAAGUGCUGAGCGCCUACCGUUGUAAAAUGAAACGGAGCUAGUUUCAAUGAGGCAAUUAGAGUGCAAACGGAUGGAAAGCUAUUCCAACACGGAAGAAGAAGGAGAAAUCCGCAGCUGUGGAGCUCUUUGAGCAAAUCGCAAAUACACCAGGCAAUACACUCAGCACGAUGAAAACGGGAAAGAAGAAGCCUCUGAUUUGGACGAGUCGUAUUUAAACAUUUUUCCGAAAAGCUUUAUGCUAGGCCAUUGCGAAAAGUUCCAACGGCAUUUCAACGGCGUAAUCACAGAAGAGAUGAGCAACUUUUCGUGGCACCGAUUCGGCAAUGGAGGAAUACAAUUUGCGUCACUUUAUGUUAUCGGUGCACAAUGUUUAUGCUGACCUAUGUAGACUCGUUAAGUGCAGGGACAUACAAUUUAGCGAAAUACAAUACAAUGCAGCAAAGACAAUU